rnacentral:rRNA from 1 species
CAUUUUUAGUAAUUAUUAAAAAUAACCUCUGCUCAAUGAAAACUUAAAUAGCCGCAGAAUUUUUACUGUGCUAAGGUAGCAUAAUCAAUUGUCUUUUAAUUAAAGAAUAGAAUGAAAGAUAAAACGAAUUUUAAUUUUUUUAAAAAAUUUUAUAUAAAAUUGUAAUAUUAGUUAAAAUACUAAUCUUUUAAGAAAGACGAAAAGACCCUAUCGAACUUUACUCUUGUUUAGCUGGGGAAGCUUAAUAAAAAAACCUUUUUUAAAAAUCAAAUCACCCUUGAAAGUUUAAUCUAGUUACCGUAGGGAUAACAGCAUAAUAAAUUUUUACAGUUCUUAUUAAAAAAAAUGUUUAUGACCUCGAUGUUGAAUUAAUUUUCUUAUAUAAAGAAAAAUUUUAUAAAGAAAGUCUGUUCGACUUUUAAAUUUUUACAUGAUUUGAGUUCAGACCGGUUUAAGCCAGGUCGGAUUCUAUCUUCAAACAAAUUUUAUUAGUACGAAAGGACCAUAAAAAUUUAAACAUUCUUAACAUGGCAGAAUAAUGCAACAAAUUUAGAAUUUGUUUAUAAAUUUAUUUUUUUGAUUUUAAAUAUUACAUUAAGUGUAAUUAGAAUUCUUUUAAGAGUUGCGUUUUAUACAAUACUCGAACGAAAAUUUUUAAGUUACACUCAAAUCCGUAAAGGUCCUAAUAAAGUGGGAUUUUCUGGAUUACUGCAACCCUUUAGUGACGCAUUAAAACUUUUUAGUAAAUCAUAUUUAUUACCCAGAAACGCUAAUAUAACAAUUAGUAUUACUUCAACUAUUUUAGUUUUUAGACUUUCUCUUAUAAUUUGACCUCUUUUUCCAUUUAACAAUUUUAAUAUAAUAGACAGCACAUUAAGAUGUUUAAUUUUAUUAAUUAUCUCUAGAAUAAGAGUCUAUACAAUUCUUAUAAUCGGUUGAUCUGUAA